UGGGGAAUUUUGGACAAUGGGGGCAACCCUGAUCCAGCCAUCCCGCGUGUGCGAUGAAGGCCUUCGGGUUGUAAAGCACUUUUGGCAGGGAAGAAACAGCCUGGGAUAAUACCCCGGGCGACUGACGGUGCCUGCAGAAUAAGCACCGGCUAACUACGUGCCAGCAGCCGCGGUAAUACGUAGGGUGCAAGCGUUAAUCGGAAUUACUGGGCGUAAAGCGUGCGCAGGCGGUUCGGAAAGAAAGGUGUGAAUCCCAGGGCUUAACCUUGGAACUGCACUUUUAACUACCGAGCUAGAGUACGUCAGAGGGGGGUAGAAUUCCACGUGUAGCAGUGAAAUGCGUAGAGAUGUGGAGGAAUACCGAUGGCGAAGGCAGCCCCCUGGGAUGAUACUGACGCUCAUGCACGAAAGCGUGGGGAGCAAACAGGAUUAGAUACCCUGGUAGUCCACG
rnacentral:rRNA from 1 species